rnacentral:tRNA from 1 species
UCCGAUAUGGUGUAGUGGCUAACAUUAUCGCCUCUCACGCGAUAGCCCGGGGUUCGAUUCCCAGUGUCGGAA